UGAAGCCACAGGAAUUGAAAACAUAUCAUCAGCAGGAAGCCUGGACUAACGAGAUCUUGGCCUUUAUUCCCAGCCACAGCAACCUGUGUCUCAGGUGUCAGACUCUGAGCCGGACACCCAGUGACAAGAUGCCCCAUUUUACAGUUGAGGAAACAGAGUCUCCGUGGAAGGGAAGAACAUAACAUAGGGAGAGAUUUCUUCUACAUAUUCAGGCAAGCAAACCCAAGAAUCUUCUUUGUGGUGGAGUUAAAUAUAUAUAAAACAAAGAUCGCUCCUCCCCUACCUCUGCAGAACGUGUGGAUGUAUGUGUGUGUGUAAGGGUGUGCAGCCACAGGCCUUUCCGGAUGAGUGGCAGAGAGAGCCCAUCCCUCCAGGAGACGCGUGCAGAAUGACCAAUGGGAUGCAUGGGGGUGGAUGGGUACCAGUCUCUCUGCAGAGGCCAGGGUGGAAUCUGCUGGGCCCUCGGCUCCCCUUCUCCCCCUCCUAAUCCCCCAAGGUCCUUCCGCUGUCGUUACUCCCCAGGGCGGAGGCACUGAGGUGCUCAUCUCCUUAAAGCAAACCAGGACCUCAGGACCGAAGACUGGGUAGGGGGCGAGGCUCGGGGCGAGGCUCGGAGCAGGC